rnacentral:rRNA from 1 species
GUGGAGCAUGUGGUUUAAUUCGAAGCAACGCGAAGAACCUUACCAGGUCUUGACAUCCUCUGACAACCCUAGAGAUAGGGCUUCUCCUUCGGGAGCAGAGUGACAGGUGGUGCAUGGUUGUCGUCAGCUCGUGUCGUGAGAUGUUGGGUUAAGUCCCGCAACGAGCGCAACCCUUGAUCUUAGUUGCCAUCAUUUAGUUGGGCACUCUAAGGUGACUGCCGGUGACAAACCGGAGGAAGGUGGGGAUGACGUCAAAUCAUCAUGCCCCUUAUGACCUGGGCUACACACGUGCUACAAUGGACGGUACAAAGAGCUGCAAGACCGCGAGGUGGAGCUAAUCUCAUAAAACCGUUCUCAGUUCGGCUGGGCGCAACUGCACAUGAAGCGGAAC